rnacentral:lncRNA from 1 species
AAACAGAGCGCGGACCAUAAUGCAGCCAGCAGCAUCCCCUCUUUUACACCCCACAGGCUCCAUCUUCUCAAUGUUAUGGAGGAAAAUAAUUUCACAGCCAGUAAACUAGGCUAUUGUGUUCUCCAAGGAAAGAAUUUGUGUGCUAUGCCGCUGCAUAACGGCCAUAGGGGAGUUGCUCUGCGAAACCCUUUCCUUCUCCCUCCCUGCCAGUAGUUGCCUUAGUGACAAAACUAAUCGCUGCUGGUGCCCCUGCUCCUGUGAACAGGAGAAAAACAAAACCAUUUUUAUUGCUGUUCCAGCAAUCCUCUGCAAGUCCAACCUCAAGACGAAAUGUGCUGAUUAAAAGAUACGCUGCAGGUACUGGAGGAACACAAUGAAAAGGCAGAGUGCAGUGAAUGAAUCUUGUCUCUCAGCAGUGCUAUUUGAAGAACUUCUUGAAGCCAGUGGAUUUGUGUUUGGAGGGGAGGAAUUGAAUCUCCAAUCAAGCAGUUUUCAGACCAACUCACAGGAUACUUAAAAUUACAAUUUACCACUGCCUAUGUAAUCCAGGAUGGACAAGGUGAUGGCUUUUCUGGAAUAAUUGAAACAUCUCUUAUCUGUAUAAAAUGUUCCCCAUCAUUACUUCACAGUGGAGCAUAACUGGGCUACUUGAAAGGAACUACCACUAAGAUGCAGGUUUUUGGGACACCCAGGUCUCCGUGCUGUUGUGCAAUGAGAUGCAUGCUUCUGAAGCAGGACACAAAAUAAACUGUGAUGUAAUAAAACAAAACAAAACAAAAACAAACAAACAACAACAACGACAACAAAAAAGACAGGAAAACAUGAGGAAAAGAAAAGCCUCAUUUGAGCUUAUCACUGCCUUGUUUCCUGUUGGCCAUGAGUCAUUCCAGCAAGUCAUUGAGGAUAUUGUUCUGGAUUCCUCUCCAAACAUCUGUUGCCUUCAGAAUCUACUAAGAAAUGAGCUCUUAUACAGACAUGACAACUCCAACUACUUCUAGCAUUUUGCACUUUACUUCUACGGGAGCUGUGUUUUUAUCCAAGUGUAAAAUGCUCCAUGUAAACCAUGAGUUUGAGGAUAGAAGCCUUAUUUUCUCUAAACCUAAGGAAAGAAAAAAUGAAAGUGAAUAAUAGGAAAAAUAAAAAAUAAAAAGUCAGACUUGGAGAUUUCUGCUCUUUCCACUGAACUUCUCUUUGCAUGAGUCAGAGGAAGGUGUGAAAUUAUAAGAAGAUCACCCUGUGAAGAUCUAUGAAAAUCUAGUCAGAUAAUCAACUGAGACUGAAGAAUGAUUCUUCUCAACCUGAAGUGCACAUCUAAAAUAGAUCAGACAGUCAAACCUCAGAAUUGCUGGCUGUUAAGUGAGGUCAGCACGACUAGCUUUGUAGCAGAAGUUCACUACAGAUGUCUAAAGCCAGAUGAGAAGUAUCACCUCAUUAAUCAAUUCAAGCACAGUAUGAAUGUAGUAAAGGACCAGCACACCAGCAAAGGCAGCUAUACAAAAGCUCUUCUGUGUGUUGAUAGGCAGUAGAGGUGCCAGUGAUAAAUUGGGCUGCACGUGGAACAAGAUUAAAAGUAUUAAGUUGGAGUGCAUUGCCUUGUACAUGAAUUUACUGAGUAGCUUCAAAGGGAAUGUAUGUUCAGUUAUGAUGGUUUGAGGGGAAAAAAAUUUUGUCAUUUUGUAUUGUCACAAAGGAAGACAUUCUACGUAAGUGCUAGAAGAUAAGGGAAAUCAUGGAAAACCUGAAGGAUUCAGAAAGACUUGGAUUGUUAGCAUUUGGAAGGAGACAAAGAAAUAUAGCAAUAAAAGCUGGGUUCACUGUGGUUGUAUGCUUGUUUUGUCACAGAUGUUCAGGGCACAAACUACCCUAACAAUGGCAUCCCUAAACUUGGUGUCCAGAUCUGAGAUAGUCACCUUGGGCUGCAAUAGAAGGGAAAAUGAUUAUUCUAUACUUACCAUUAGCAAGUGAUAUUCUUCCAUGUCUUGGAAAGCAGGGUCUCAAUGGACAUAGCAGCCAUUUGGGAGGACAGACAAGUUGAAAAGUGGUACAGGGGGUCUGCUUCUCCUCUCACUGUAGAAAUGAGCUAUGGACCUCACUGUUGCAUCAAUUGACUGACACUGCUCCAAGAUGAGUAAGAUUCAAAGAGAAACAGUGAUUACAUGGCUGAAAAGAAUAUCCAGAUAUAGCACAAAAGAUAAAAUUACACAGGAAGGCUAUAAAAUCUUCAGAUUUGAAAAGAUCAAGAUAUCCUUUAUUUUUUGUUGCUCAGAAGAGAUAAUCUGGGUUACAGACUGUAACGUCUGCUUAUUACAAACCAUUUUACACUUUUCGCCAGUCAAUGUUCUUUCUCAGGAAAGAAGUCCCUAGGCUAUUUCUCUGAUCCUAUAUGGACAUUUUUAUGUUGCUAGAGAAGAUGGAAGUCUCCAUUUGUGUUUAACAUGGGAUUUCCUCUUCUAGAUGGAAAUCAUCCAGUCUCAUUGAUUAAGUGCAAUUUCCACACACUUCAGUACAGCUCUGCAGGAUUUAAUGACUGCACCCAGCUGAGCAAUAUUCUCUGGAUUUGAUUCACUAUACAUAUUAAUUUUAGAGCCUGUCUCAAAUAACCUUCAUUGAUUUCUUCAUCAUAUAUACAAGUCUAACCUUGUUUGACUGGUUGCUUGAAAUGCAGUGCCAUUAUUCAGUGGAACAGGAAUUAAGACAGGCUGAUGUGGCUGAACAGAAUUAACGGUUUAAAAAAGUUGUCUGUCUGUGCUGAUGCAUUUGAGAAGAAAAGUGAUGGGGAUUCUGAGCACAGCGAGACCUGCAAGGUGCUUUGUAAAGCAAGUUACUUUCAAGAGAGAAAAAAAAAAACCAAAAACUGUCUGAAUGGUACAUUAGGCAUGAUCUGAUAAUAACCCCAAAAAUGUCUAGAAUGGAUACAAAUUGCAAAUCCACAGCUGUGACAAUGCAACUAUGGAUUUCUGGCCUCAUAGAUUUAGAGGAGCAAUAACUGCCAUUGCCAAACUAGUUAAAAGCAACGGCUGAAAGCGUGUAAGUUAGAC